ACUCCUACGGGAGGCAGCAGUGAGGAAUAUUGGUCAAUGGGCGCAAGCCUGAACCAGCCAUGCCGCGUGCAGGAAGACUGCCCUUAUGGGGUUGUAAAACUGCUUUUAUAUGGGGAAGAAACCCCUCUACGUGUAGAGGCUUGACGGUACCAUAAGAAUAAGCACCGGCUAACUCCGUGCCAGCAGCCGCGGUAAUACGGAGGGUGCAAGCGUUA
rnacentral:rRNA from 1 species